CGAUACAUACUUCAAAACCCUUUCUCUCAAUUUUUUUAUAUUUGGGUCAAAAUGAGAUCUCCCACACUUCUUGUUCUCUCCUGCCUUGCUGUCGCUUACGCCGGAGUCGUCAAUGUAACUGUGGCAACAGUUAUGUUAGUUAUGUACUGAAAUUAUUACCAAGAUUGUGACAAAUUUAUUUGAGACACGUAUCAUCCUGAAUAGGUUUGCUGAAAUUUGUGGGCUAGUUUUUAUUUGAAAUAUUUGUCAAAGUUUGUAAAAGCUUUUAAGUUUAUAGAAUUUAAUCGUUUUACAAUGUUACUAAGGGCUGUGUGAUUUACCUUUUUUGUGUUUUUCAAGUAAAAUGUUUUCUGUGCGAGUUGUAACUAUAAAAAACUUUCAGUAGUCGGUGAACGGUGUAAAUUUUAUUAGCCUUUCAAUAUACGAUAUAACGAUGUCAUAAGGCUUGACUUGAUGGUUUAUUUUUUUAUAAUGCGACAAAAUACAGAACAUAUUGAGGCAGUUGCAUUUUAUUUUUUAUGGUUAAGGGAACUGCAAUAGAAACCAGGAUGUCCGACUGUGAAGGAUAGUGCCAAGUACAACCUGGCCAAGUUUACGAAGUGGAACAAGACUUUGUGCUAAGUAUCCCAAUUAGAUGGGGAACUUUAUGGGCUGAGAUUUGCACGAUACCUGGCGGUUUCUGCAAGGAGAUAAUCAACGAGAACGUAACCAUCGUCACUCCAGGGCCGACCUACAUGGUGAAGUAUUCAUUUAUCCCACAUGAAAUGUUUUCCGGAUUUAAGACAGAACUGAGAACUAAAAUCCGCCAUGCUGACACAAAUCUAUUGGAAAUUUGCGUUUUCUUUUACAUGGAUAUCUUGUAAAUAAGCUUACCAAAAUUUACGAAUUUUUAGAAGAUGAAGAAAAACGAAUAAAUCAAAUACAAAUUUCUACUCAA